rnacentral:rRNA from 1 species
CCUACGGGAGGCUGCAGUGAGGAAUAUUGGUCAAUGGGCGCGAGCCUGAACCAGCCAAGUAGCGUGAAGGAUGACUGCCCUACGGGUUGUAAACUUCUUUUAUAAAGGAAUAAAGUGAGGCACGUGUGCCAUUUUGUAUGUACUUUAUGAAUAAGGAUCGGCUAACUCCGUGCCAGCAGCGGCGGUAAGACGGAGGAUCCGAGCGUUAUCCGGAUUUAUUGGGUUUAAAGGGUGUGUGGCUGGGUUGUUAGGUCAGUUGUGAAAGUUUGCGGCUCAACCGUAAAAUUGCAAUUGAUACUGGCAGCCUUGAGUACAGUUGAGGUAGGCGGAAUUCGUGGUGUAGCGGUGAAAUGCUUAGAUAUCACGAAGAACUCCGAUUGCGAAGGCAGCUUACUAAACUGCCACUGACAUUGAUGCUCGAAAGUGUGGGUAUCAAACAGGAUUAGAUACCCCUGUAGUC